AUCCUGACCUCUCUAAGCAUUUUCUAAAUCUCAAAUAUCAAACUGAUGAUCUUAUUACAAAUUCCAAAACUCUCAGUAAGCAAAGUUCUGAACUUUGCUUCAUAUUUACCUCUUUUCACCACACAUAGAUCUAGCAGCUUGCAGAGCAAAAUAGGUGAGGAUGAUAUACGCACCUGCCCUUCUCAGACACAACAGUGUUUCCAUCAUUACCUUUUCUUCAUAUUUCCCACUUGCCUUUAUUAUCAUUAAGUACUCUACUGAAACCUGGACACCAUUCAUGAAACCCAAAUUUUUACAACACAACCUAUCUACACGAAAUCAAUAGAAUUCCUCUGUAGAAGCAACCACAAAUACCUGAAAUGCGGCAAUCGGCAAAAGUGAAUUGUCUCUGAUUUGCCUGAUGAUAUCCAAGCAUGGAAGAGCAGGUUUUACCUGUUACUAACAACCAUGCAGCUUAAUUUAGCAAUGAGAUAUGGAAUAUUUAUGUAUAAAUUCACCAUCGGCUGUAUAACAGUGAAUUUUGAUUUUAGGGGUAUUCGCGUCAUUUCAUGUACCAAAUUCAAAUGUUAGGGUGUUUGUAAGUAAAAGUUAGGGCGUCAUAGCAAUCCCCUUUUUAUUGGGUAAUUCUUUUGCACAAUUUUAUAUUCAUGUGUGUUUCAUUGCUAUAAAUUCCGAUAACUAUUUAAUAGCAGUAAGUUAGUUUGAGCACGAAACACUCAGUCAUUGUUUUUUUUAUUUGUACACCUAUUUUAAUGUCGAAUUCGGCAAUCCAAGGAAUAUUUCAAACGAAGUUCUCAUUUAAAAUGAUGUUGACAACCGAACUAGUAUUUCUUUGGGUGUGUGGUACUUAUCCUUCUCCUUAUUUGGGAAACCAGUAGUAAACUAGUAUAUACUGUAUUUCAAUUUCAACUUCAAGUUUCACAAAGUUACUGUGAACUAGUACUGUUUUGGUGUGCGAUACAUAGCAUUUUUCAUUUGUGCGGAAUCAUACAUUGAUCAAUUACACUUGAUUUUGAUUGCAACUUGAUCUUUAUAGGGUAUAUUUAUACACACAUAAGAUGUGAUUGUAGUAUUGUAAAAUUCAUAAAAAGUACGAGAUGUUGAUAGGAAUUCGCAGCUUAUCGAAUGUAUAAUUCACAAGUGCUCACUUACCAUGCCAAAUGUAUAAUCAUACCAAGUUAACAAUAGUACAACUUUCAGAAUUCAUUUCUUCAAUUGUACAACCUUCUACAUUGACUACUUUGUCUACCGACGGUAGACCGUACACACUAUGAACAAUCUUCUUCGGUUAUCUUCGAUGUCUUUGGUUUCUCGAACUUUGUGACCAUUUUUUUGAAGAUUAGCAAGUGGGAUUGUGGGAAUUUUGAGAGAAUAUAAGCUUUCGAGAACCCUCAAGAUGAGCAAGUCGAAAUUCUAGAGGAUGUGUCCACAUUAUUGUAAUUUCAGGGUUCUGAACAACUCAAACAUAUAAAAUUAUUCACCGCAUACAACAGGGUUUUGAUUUUAUUUAUAAAACUUAAUUUACCUCCAUUUCUCCUUUUAGUUCAUUCGUUGGCACAAACCAAAAAGCUUGAGAAACAGUGAAACCAGACACUAGCAAACGUCAUAUCUUAUUACAAGUUGCAAAAACCUCACUCAGUAAGCAAGCUCUGAACUUUCGAUUCAUAUUUACCUCUUUUCACCACACAUGGAUCUAGCAGCUUGCAGAGCAAAAUAGGUGAGGAUGAUAUCAGCACCUGCCCUUCUCAAACACAACAGUGACUCCAUCAUCACCUUUUC
rnacentral:lncRNA from 1 species